rnacentral:rRNA from 1 species
GACGAACGCUGGCGGCGUGCUUAACACAUGCAAGUCGAACGGAGUGGCGAACGCGGGAGUAACACGAGGGUGAUCUGCCUUGCACUUCGGGGUAAGCCUGGGAAACUGGGUCUAAUACCGGGUAGUGCACGUGGAGCUAGCGGCCUAUCAGCUUGUUGGUGGGGUAAUGGCCUACCAAGGCGUCGACGGGUAGCCGGCCUGAGAGGGUGUACGGCCACAUUGGGACUGAGAUACGGCCCAGACUCCUACGUGAGGCAGCAGUGGGGGAUAGUGCACAAUGGGCGGAAGCCGGAAGCAGCGACGCCGCGUGGGGGAUGAAGGCCUUCGGGUUGUAAACUCCUUUCGACAGGGACGCGGUACCGGUAUAAGAAGCACCGGCUAACUACGUGCCAGCAGCCGCGGUAAUUC